rnacentral:rRNA from 1 species
UACAACAUAGCAUUAAUGAACCUAAUCCCAUUAGAACUCCCCAUUACCCAAUUAAGAACACUCAUGUGAGAGUAGUACUAGGAUGGGUGACCACCCGGGGAGUCCUAGUGUUUUAC